CACAUUGAGAUGGCUUGCGAGUGGGAGCUUCCUUUAUUCUGUUGGGGAUGCAGAGAACCUCAAUAAAGGAACCAUUUGCCGGACAAUCAGAUGCGUUUGUCUGGCGCUGAAAUCAUUCAGCAAUAUAUUCAUCACCUUCCCUGGCCACAGAAGACCCCUCUACAUCAGGGAGGAGUUUUACAAGAUUGCAGGUAACCUCAAUUUUAAUGUGCACCCAUUAGUUUCUAAGUAUAUCCGUCACAGUUGGAUACUCACUAUUUUUUGUUACAGCUUUCCCUAACAUCAUUGGGGCAGUGGAUUGCACACACAUAAGAAUCAGACGCCCCUCAGGUGAACAUGAGGGAGAUUACAUUAACAGGGAAUCCUUCCACAGCAUCAAUGUUCAGAUGAUCUGUGAUGCUGACUGCCUUGUGAGCAAUUUAGAGGCAAAGUGGCCUGGCUCAGUGCAUGACUCUAGAGUCUUUCGGGCUAGUCCAAUUUAUGAGAGACUUUCACAAGGUGAAUUCUCUGGUGUGCUGCUGGGAGAUAAAGGAUACGCAUGUGAGUCAUUCCUCUUGACUCCCCUUGCAGAUCCCCAAACCCCACCACAGCAGGCCUACAACCAUGCACACACCAAGACAAGGGC